GACAGAGGGUGCAAACGUUGCUCGGAAUCAUUGGGCGUAAAGCGCGUGUAGGUGGCUCUCCACGUCGGGUGUGAAAGCCCGGGGCUCAACCCCGGCAGUGCACCCGAAACGAGGGAGCUAGAGUGCUGGAGAGGCGGGUGGAAUUCCCGGUGUAGAGGUGAAAUUCGUAGAUAUCGGGAGGAACACCGGUGGCGAAGGCGACCCGCUGGCCAGCAACUGACACUGAGACGCGAAAGCGUGGGGAGCAAACGGG
rnacentral:rRNA from 1 species